rnacentral:rRNA from 1 species
UCAGAACGAACGCUGGCGGCAGGCCUAACACAUGCAAGUCGAACGAAGCCUUCGGGCUUAGUGGCGCACGGGUGCGUAACACGUGGGAAUGUGCCCUCAGGUACGGAAUAACUCACCGAAAGGUGUGCUAAUACCGUAUAAUAUCUCCGGAUCAAAGAUUCAUCGCCUGAGGAUCAGCCCGCGCCUGAUUAGGUAGUUGGUGAGGUAACGGCUCACCAAGCCGACGAUCAGUAGGGGGUCUGAGAGGAUGAUCCCCCACACUGGUACUGAGACACGGACCAGACUCCUACGGGAGGCAGCAGUGAGGAAUAUUGGACAAUGGAGGCAACUCUGAUCCAGCCAUGCCGCGUGAGUGAAGAAGGCCUUAGGGUUGUAAAGCUCUUUCAACUGUGAAGAUGAUGACGGUAGCAGUAGAAGAAGCCCCGGACUAGAUUCGUGCCAGCAGCCGCGGUAAUACGAAUGGGGCAAGCGUUGUUCGGAACCACUGGGCUUAAAGCGUGUGCAGGCGGACUUGAAAGUCAGGAGUGAAAUCCCAGGGCUCAACCCUGGA